rnacentral:rRNA from 1 species
GACGUAGGGUCCAAGCGUUGUCCGGAUUUACUGGGCGUAAAGAGCUCGUAGGCGGUUUGCCGCGUCUGCUGUGAAAACUCGGGGCUUAACCCCGGGCCUGCAGUGGGUACGGGCAGACUAGAGUGCGGUAGGGGAGACUGGAAUUCCUGGUGUAGCGGUGAAAUGCGCAGAUAUCAGGAGGAACACCGGUGGCGAAGGCGGGUCUCUGGGCCGUAACUGACGCUGAGGAGCGAAAGCGUGGGGAGCGAACAGG